UACGUAGGGUGCAAGCGUUGUCCGGAAUUAUUGGGCGUAAAGAGCUCGUAGGCGGUCUGUUGCGUCGGCUGUGAAAACCCGGGGCUCAACUCCGGGCCUGCAGCCGAUACGGGCAGACUAGAGUUCGGCAGGGGAGACUGGAAUUCCUGGUGUAGCGGUGAAAUGCGCAGAUAUCAGGAGGAACACCGGUGGCGAAGGCGGGUCUCUGGGCCGAUACUGACGCUGAGGAGCGAAAAGCGUGGGGGAGCGAAACAGG
rnacentral:rRNA from 1 species